rnacentral:rRNA from 1 species
AUUGAACGCUGGCGGCAGGCCUAACACAUGCAAGUCGAGCGGAGCGGCGGACGGGUGAGUAAUGCCUAGGAAUCUGCCUGGUAGUGGGGGCUACCGUCCGGAAACGGGCGCUACUACCGCAUACUAUCAGAUGAGCCUAGGUCGGAUUAGCUAGUUGGUGGGGUAAAGGCCUACCAAGGCGACGAUCCGGAACUGGGCUGAGAGGAUGACCAGCCACACGGGAACUGAGACACGGUCCAGACUCCUACGGGAGGCAGCAGUGGGGAAUAUUGCACAAUGGGCGCAAGCCUGAUGCAGCCAUGCCGCGUGUAUGAAGAAGGCCUUCGGGUUGUAAAGUACUUUCAGCGGGGAGGCGUUACCCGCAGAAGAAGCACCGGCUAACUCCGUGCCAGCAGCCGCGGUAAUAC